AAAAAUAAAAAAAAUAAAAAAAAAUAAAAAUAAAAGCCCUAAAACUUAAAACCCUACGCUCACCAUGAAUGAUUGAGAAAAAUAGUAUUGGUUGUGGAAAAUCCUACUCACAAUUCUAUAAGAAAGGUCAACAAAUCAGAGGAAAAAAUUCCUCAAAGCGUAGUACAAGUCCUCAUAUAGUAAGUUCUAAUCAUGCUAAAAGAAUAUGUAUAAUCACAAAUAGCAUGAAAAAGGCAGUAUUUUAGAGCGUGUCCCAUGAGUGAUUGACCACAGAUAUGGUAGAAACUUGUUAUGAGAGAAUAUUGUCCAAGAGGACCUCAAAAAAGGUAACUAAGUACACAGCCACACUCCUUACAUCCAUCCGUCUAAGCAUGCUAUCAAUCUAGCACCACCUAGAAAUCACUAGAUAAACCACUUCAACCAUAAAGAAGACACAAUCAAAGCAAUACUUUAUAAUUACAAAGUACCUUGAAAUUAACAAAAGCACUCAGGAUAUACAAUAUGUAUGCCUCGUGGAUGAAGA
rnacentral:misc_RNA from 1 species